ensembl:lncRNA
AAUAUUGGCCAUGCCAGUUACAUGCUGGAGGCUAUUUAUAGUCUUCGUUAACAUUUCAUCUGCUAACUGGGGGCUAUACUUCCUGACUUGAUGAAGUUCACUCUCUCUUUAGAUACUACUGAAUCAUCCAGACAGUAAACUUCGUUAUAAGACUGAGUUGGAGGGAGUGAGAGCUAAUGUCCAAAUGCAAAGCCAAGUUCUGUCAUUCCCUUUGGAAGAGAUGAUGUGAAACUACAGAGCCGAUUUGAAGGUGGAGGCCUCACGCCAUGUAAGGACCAACAAGAAGCAGGAAGGACAGACUGGCUUUAGGGCAAGCCAGCAGAUCUGAAGAAUGGGAGCAGGAUGACAGCAUAGUGAUGAUCAAACUCUACUCCCAGAUUCACGUAGCUGAAAUUUGAUCCAUCUUCAGACUUCCUACAAUUCCUCUUCCAUGUGCCCAGAUACAGACAUCAGUUCCUCCUUCCGUAAAUUGUCUGUUGUGAAUGGGAAAGCACACUGGUGAAUUCAGUGCUGGCAUUAAAGAAUAGAAGCCUUUCCUACCCAUGAGCUGCUGCUGCAAACGGUUACAGAGCAGAAUUUAUCAUGAUGCAAGCAAGAUCAUCCUCGGCAGUAAGAAAUGCUAUAUACAGAUGAAGUGGCUCCUGAUGGAUCUGGCAGCUCAAGCACUGACAGAAAGGAUUGGACCCCUUUUUGUGGAAACAACAAGAGAAAAGCUCUGAUUUGGUAUUUAAAUGCUAGAGCUCAAGGGCCUGUCCUUGGGAAGUGCUGACCACUUGAUUUUUGCUGCAGUCAGUUCUUUUUUUCAACACCCUGCACCCAACACCCUCUGUAGACCCAUGGUCUGCCUUAGGGAUUUAUGUCAAAUAUUCUUAUUAGAAACACAGGACAGGAAGGUACCUGACCUACUCAGAACCAUCUUUGAGAAAGUCAUGAAUGGCCUUCAGAGUAGAGCAGGUCAAUGAAAAGGCAGGAAAAGGCAGCAGACCUUCAGGACUGUACUAGAAAUGAAGAGGACAUUUCUCAUUUGGAAUAGAAAUGUACAGAAGUGUCUUAAUAUUACACAGAAAGCAUGGUGGAAAGCUGACACAAGAACCAGAGAGUCUGCUCCCACUGACCUAUUUCAAUGGAACUUUUGACUUAAAGACCCCUUCAGUCGCUAGCAAAGAACAAUAGAUAUUAUUUGUUCAUGAACACAACCACAUGGCAGUAAGAUAAAUAUGCUCUUAACAUUAUAAGCUGAGGUGAUAAAAUCCAAAUCUUAGCCAUAAGAAAAAAUAAAUAAAUAAAGUUGUACAAAACAUUCGUUUGAUCUGAGACAUUUUUAGUACUUUUGGAAAAAGCACAGGGUGAAAACCUACUGUCUGGGACCCAGCCCAUUUAAUACCAGCAGAACAGUCAUUCUACUCAGAGGCGACACCGGGAUGUUUCAGUUCUACAAUUCAUAAUUUUGUAGCAAAUCCUAUAGGAGGCCUCGACAUUUCUGUAGGAACUUCAGUAGCCUUUUCAGAAAAGAUAAUACAAAAGAGGAAAUAAACAAACAAACAAACAAAUAAAUAAAACCCAAUGCUCAUUUACC